rnacentral:misc_RNA from 1 species
UUUCCGUAGGCGAACCUGCGGAAGGAUCAUUAAUGAGUUGUCAUGGGGUUCGAUGCUGGCAGCCAGUUUUUGGAUGCAUGUGCUUGCCCUAACAAUCAUCUUCUUCCAAACACCUGUGCACAUUUUUGAGGGAGUCUUGAGUUGGUUGCCGCUCUUGGGUGAUUUUCUCACAUUCCCUUAAAUCAUUAUACGCUAUUAACAAAGUUGAACGUGCUCUGUGCCGCAAGGCCAUUAAUAUAAUACAACUUUUAACAACGGAUCUCUUGGCUCUC